GUGAGGAAUAUUGCACAAUGGACGCAAGUCUGAUGCAGCAACGCCGCGUGGAGGAUGAAGGUCUUUGGAUUGUAAACUCCUUUUCUCAGGGAAGAGAAUGGACGGUACCUGAGGAAUAAGUCACGGCUAACUACGUGCCAGCAGCCGCGGUAAUACGUAGGUGGCAAGCGUUAUCCGGAAUUACUGGGCGUAAAGCGCACGCAGGCGGUUUCUUAAGUUUGACGUGAAAGCUCUCGGCUUAACUGGGAGAGGUCGUUGAAUACUGAGAGACUUGAGGCAAUGAGAGGGGUGUAGAAUUCCCGGUGUAGUGGUGGAAUGCGUAGAUAUCGGGGGGAAUACCAGUGGCGAAAGCGGCACCCUAGCGUUGUACUGACGCUCAUGUGCGAAAGCGUGGGGAGCGAACGGGAUUAGAAACCCCUGUAGUCC
rnacentral:rRNA from 1 species